rnacentral:rRNA from 1 species
AUGGACAAGAAUGGAAACUCACCGUCCUAUAUUAGUGCACAUGCAAUUCUUUCCACAAAGAAUGAAUAUGUUGAUGAGUUAAAUGAUAUGCUUAUUGACCGAUUUCCUGGAGAAGAAAAGGUCUAUUACAGUUUUGACUCAGUGGUUGAUGAUCCACAUAAUCACUAUCAACCUGAGUUCCUAAAUUCACUCACACCUAAUGGCCUUCCUCCUCAUAUUCUCAGAUUGAAGAUCAACUGCCCUGUUAUUUUGAUUCGCAACCUUGAUCCUUCUAAUGGUUUAUGCAAUGGUACAAGGCUUAUCAUUAAGGCAUUUCAAGAGAACGCUAUUGAUGCAGAAAUUAUUGGCGGACAAUAUGCUGGGAAGCGAGUGUUCCUUCCACGAAUUCCUCUCUAUCCUUUAGAGGAUGAUGUUCUCCCCUUCAAGUUUAAAAGAAAGCAAUUUCCAAUUCGGCUUAGUUUUGCCAUGACAAUCAACAAAGCCCAGGGUUAA